GAAUAUUUCAUGUCUUUAUUUCUAAAAAUAUCUGAUAUUGACAACAAUUGCACAAAUUAUUUUCAUCUCACAAUCAACACAGAAAGCAAAAUAUAAAUUGAUAAAAAAAUAACUAUGUUUGUGUGUGUGUGUGUCUGUGGCUUUUAAACGCAGUCAUCACAAGGAGCAAUAGUAUACAUGUCAUUGUAUUUAUAUAAAUGUAAGGUAUAAAUAUAAAAAUAAUGCUGUAGGCUAGAAAUAGAUGAGCAAUAAAUCGGAUUCCAUUGGAUUUCAUUAAACAAUAACAUAAAAAUCAUCUGAAUUAGUUCAAGUUGGCAUUGCAGUUGAGUAUUUGAAAUACUAAUUUUAAAUCAUGGCUAACAAAAGUGUUAUAUACAAUAACCUGUAAAUUUAGUCUGAGACUUAUGUCAUAGUAAGUUUUAUAUCAAAUAACGCUCUAAAUAUAAGUCUCCGCUUUAAAGUAUCAUUUCAUUAAACAUUUAAUUUAUGCACACUUUUAAGGCACUGGUACAUUGGGCUAUAUACAAUAACAUGAGUCUAACAAUGGAUUGGUUUUCCAUUGAAUACAUCAGUAGAAAAACAAAAAUUGUGGCAAGACUUCUGCUGCAAUAACAGAAAAAUAAAGGGGGGGGGGGGGAAGAC